rnacentral:rRNA from 1 species
AGAAGCAGGGGAUCGUAAGACCUCGCGCUAUUGGAGCGGCCGAUGUCCGAUUAGCUAGUUGGUGGGGUAAUGGCCUACCAAGGCGACGAUCGGUAGCUGGUCUGAGAGGAUGAUCAGCCACACUGGGACUGAGACACGGCCCAGACUCCUACGGGAGGCAGCAGUGGGGAAUUUUGGACAAUGGGCGAAAGCCUGAUCCAGCCAUGCCGCGUGAGUGAAGAAGGCCUUCGGGUUGUAAAGCUCUUUCGGCCGGAACGAAAUCGUCCGGGCUAAUACCCCGGAUGGAUGACGGUACCGGAAGAAGAAGCACCGGCUAACUACGUGCCAGCAGCCGCGGUAAUACGUAGGGUGCAGGCGUUAAUCGGAAUUACUGGGCGUAAAGCGUGCGCAGGCGGCUUCCUAAGUCAGAUGUGAAAUCCCCGGGCUUAACCUGGGAACUGCGUUUGAAACUACAAAGC